rnacentral:misc_RNA from 1 species
UUUUUUUUUUUUUAUAUUUAAAUAAUGAUGUAUGUAUAUAAAAUGUGCAAUGCAGAUAUGGAAUUUUGUAAUAUUAUGAUUGCUCAUUGUUUGAAGAAUCUUUAACGGGUAAUGACAAUUAUACAUCCCUAAUUGGUUACCUACUGAAAUAGUUGUGUCUGGUGGAGUGGACCUAGUGUCAUAAAUGAGUAAAGCAAUUUAUGAAUUAUUCUGACUCAAUUUAUUAAA